ensembl:lncRNA
AUAUGAGCUAGCUGUCUGUAGGUCACUUAGCUGUAAAUAAGUGAAUGUGAGUUGAAUAUACCAGAGACAUAGUGUUCCAAGAAAUCUCAUGAAUUGUUUUAUUAGGGCAUUACACACAUUUAGUUUUCCACAAAUUGUAUGAUUACAGUUAUUUAUUUUAAAAAUGACAAGGUUCAAGGAAGAGAGAGAAUCAAUCAACACUCAGCUGGAAUGUUUUCAAAAUUCUACCAUUAAGCAUUCAUGUGCAUUAUGGUCAUGUGCAUAAAGAUUUCACACAGAGCCUCCAUGUUAUAACAUUUGACCAAAAAAAAAAAAAAAAAGGCAACGCUUCUGUUGCACACAUUUUUAUACUGAUUAGGCAGCAUGGACAUCAGGUACUAAAUACAAUGUUAGUUUGCUACAUUUCCAUGGACUUCAGCUCACUGAGCAAAAAAAAAAAAAAAAUCAGCCACAUCAUUUGUUUUUUAAUACACGGGCAUAAUUCCCUUGGAUUAUCACAUGAGGAUCCCAUCAGUGUCUUGAGAUAGUUCCUAUUAAUUUGACCCUGCUCCUUCACUGACUUGGUGUGCAACCUAGUGAGUGUUCAUGGUGCCUAUUUUAAGUGCUUCACCUUAUGUUCCAAAUAAUCCCACAACUUUCCUAUGGCUUUAAGUUCUGGUGAUGUUGCAGACCAGUGAAUAUGUCCCAGUCUCCCAUCAAUGUACAAAGAAAUGCAGGCAUGUGGAUGUGACCCAUUUCUUGUCCAGAGAGCUUAUUGUGUUUUUAAAACAAAACCACCUUUUUACACUGCACAACACAACACAUUUUUCCUUAUGCAGAGUUACACUGCACAAAACAUUCUCAUCUGCCGAACUUUGCAUUAGCACACUGUUCCAAAGAAGCUGAGUUAUACACCUUGUUAUGAAAAAAAAAUCUACCUAGCUACAAAAGCAAUCUACAGGCUGUCCCAAAAGUCUCCAUAUAUAGGAGACUAUGUUUUUCAGUACCAAAUCAGUUACCCCUUCGUCAGUGGAUGCUCAUGGACGUCCACUUCUCGGUUGGUCUGCAACAAUUCCAUUCUUCGUUCAUUGGUUAAUAAGUUUGACGACAGUGUUGUGUGUGUGAUGUGCUUGCCAUGUUUCCUGUUAAAGUCCAUCACAACUUUGCGACAGCUUCCUGUUCCAGCCAUUAGAAUGAUUUCAAUACAUUCUUCAUUUGUCAAAGGUGUUCUUAAAGGCUAUUUGAAAUUAUUAUAUUAUAUUAU